GAUCGGUAUCUGCGGCUGCUGAAAAAAUCAUGGAGACUCCAUAGAACGCUUAAAUAGUUGAGGUAUAUACACUGGAGCAACUCAAGUGCAUGUGUGACUUUUUGAGAAGAAACCACACAAGGCUGUUGGUUAGCAAUCACCAUGUAAAAGGGUUUGCAGAAACCAGACAGAGAGCCUGUGUGGAGAUGCUAUUGGCUGCCCAGGUCGGACUGCCUCCAACCUGAGGCGGUCUUGGAGUGAUCUAACAAAAGAGUGAAUGAUUAUGCUAGGAAUCAGACAAAGACUGCUUUCACAUAAGGCAGCCUGCUUCUGGACAUGGGGAAGCCAGAGGAGGAAAAGGUGGUUGAGGCGGAACCUCAAGCUGUUCCCGGGGCACCAUUGACAUCCAGGGUAGAUGGGGUCUAGUUGAUUUUUAGGACACCAAGAUGACACCCAGCAUAAGAGAAGAGAAGGUGCUCUUCCUGUUAUGACCAGCACACCAAGUACCAGGAGCAUGGAUCUGCAGCAAGUUCAGCAGGAGACGCUCAGAAUGCAGCAAGCUCUGCUGCAAACAUUUAAAAUCAUCCAUGUUGAUUUUUGUAAUUAUCCACAAUUGUUUGCAGCAGUUUGUUAAUGGAAAUCAGUAGUAACAUUAAACAAUGCAACUUUCUCUGCAUUUUUUUUUUACUGGAAACCUGUUGAAUAUUGUUUUAGAAAAUGAAGUAAAUCACCUUGAACUUUGGAAAUUUCAGAAAGCAUAUAUUUUAGCAAGUAAUAUGAAAAUGAGAUACCAUGGUCACAUUUGGUGGCCUUACGGCUAGUCGAAAUCAGUCGUUUUAUGUAUUACUAUACAAACCACCUACAUGAAGCUGGUACAAGGAUGAGUAAAAUGGCUGAUUUUGACUCGCCAUAAUGCCACCGGCUGGCAAAUGUGACCUAGACAUAAGUUGUUGAUGUCAUUGCCUCAUAAUUUUGAACAAAAAAAUGACAAAGACUACAUUCUUCAGGAUUGAGAAAGUUAAACUUGAACUUUAUUCUCAUCUCAGUAGAUAGAAGAUAAUGUUAUUCAUUCAAUACUGCGGUAGAAUUUGAACAAAUGCCUUGCAAUGCAAAAUAAAAAUUUAGGUUCUGAAAUCUUGAUGGGAAUCCCUGUGCAAGAACAGUUUUAAAGUUUAUUUAUACAUGUUCAUAUUGCAAGUCUGUUAUAUGAUCUGUCAGCAUUGUUUGUGGAUCUCACACUGGUGUCAUUAGCCAUAGUUCCAAUCUAUAUCCUGCAUUGCCCAACAGGAUGCCUUGCAAUUCGCCAUCUGCAAAACGUUUUCCAAUGGUACUUUUAUGUUGAUUUAAAAGAAAAGGGACCUUGUCAACAUUCAAUCACAUCUUUCAAUACGCAUAUAAGGGUAUGGGAUACUGUUAGCAUUGAAAUUAAAAUAUGACUUGAUAAAAAUUAUUUUCAAUUAAAUUCAAAGUAUUAUAAUGGUUCAUAACGA